rnacentral:lncRNA from 1 species
AAUCCAGCGGUGGGGUGGGCCACUUGGGCCAGCCGUCCCGUCUUUCCUGGGAAGAUGAACCCGAGGGUGGAGAGCCCUCAAUCGGAUCACGACUCCACCCCUGGAAGAUCCCUGCCCCCAUUCUGCUAGAGGACACUCGAGACCUGAAGUUGAGAGGAUUUUCUGGAUCGAAGACUCCAAGAGAUGAACCGACGGAUCGAAGAACUCCGCCACGCUCCCCCCGCUUAUGGUGAGGAUAUUUGCACUGACCCUCCCUUUUCUCAAAUGAUCAUGC